AUUGAACGCUGGCGGCAGGCUUAACACAUGCAAGUCGAGCGGAGAUGAGGUGCUUGCACCUUAUCUUAGCGGCGGACGGGUGAGUAAUGCUUAGUAAUCUGUCUAUUAGUGGGGGACAACAUUCCGAAAGGAAUGCUAAUACCGCAUACGUCCUACGGGAGAAAGCAGGGGAUCUUCGGACCUUGCGCUAAUAGAUGAGCCUAAGUCGGAUUAGCUAGUUGGUGGGGUAAAGGCCUACCAAGGCGACGAUCUGUAGCGGGUCUGAGAGGGUGAUCCGCCACACUGAUACUGAGACACGGCCCAGACUCCUACGGGAGGCAGCAGUGGGGAAUAUUGGACAAUGGGGGGAACCCUGAUCCAGCCAUGCCGCGUGUGUGAAGAAGGCCUUAUGGUUGUAAAGCACUUUAAGCGAGGAGGAGGCUACUGAGACUAAUACUCUUGGAUAGUGGACGUUACUCGCAGAAUAAGCACCGGCUAACUCUGUGCCAGCAGCCGCAGUAAUAC
rnacentral:rRNA from 1 species